UACGUAGGGACCAAGCGUUGUUCGGAUUUACUGGGCGUAAAGGGUGCGUAGGCGGCCGUGCAAGUCUGGCGUGAAAGCCCCGGGCUCAGCCCGGGAAGUGCGCUCGAAACUGCGCGGCUCGAGUGCCGGAGGGGAGAGUGGAAUUCCUGGUGUAGCGGUGAAAUGCGUAGAUAUCAGGAGGAAUACCGGUGGCGAAAGCGACUCUCUGGACGGCAACUGACGCUGAGACGCGAAAGCGUGGGGAGCGAACAGG
rnacentral:rRNA from 1 species